UUCUUAUACACUCUUUAUAAGUAACACCUGCUCAAUGAGAUUUUAAAAGCCGCAGAAUACUUACUGUGCUAAGGUAGCAUAAUCAUUAGCCUCUUAAUUAGAGGCUCGUAUGAAAGGUGAAACAUUUCACUUACUUUAUUCUCUAAUUUUUUCUAAAUUAAACUAGGAAUUAAAAUGUUUCUAUAAUUAUAUUAGACGACAAGACCCUUUUGAACUUUACUUCAGUUCGGCUGGGGCAGCCGAACAAAAAUGAUCUUUCUUCAACCCUAUUCAUAAAAGACCCAACAAAAUUGAUUAAAUGAACAAGUUACCAUAGGGAUAACAGCGUAAUAACUUUUUAAAGCUCUUAUUUAAAACGAAGAUUGCGACCUCGAUGUUGAAUUAGUGUGACUUUAUUGGUGCAGUAACUAUUAAAAGUGGGUCUGUUCGACCCUUAAUACACUACAU
rnacentral:rRNA from 1 species